ACUGCUAUCGAGGUGGGACUAAGCCAUGCUAGUCGAACGAACAGAACUAUGUCUGUAAGUGGCAUACUGCUCAGUAACACGUAGCUAACCUACCCUUAGGACGUUAAUAACCCCGAGAAAUUGGGGCUAAUGAACGAUAGAUGUGAUGUCCUGGAAUGGUAUCACGUCCAAAGGUAUCUCAUACAUGUUUGGUAUACGCCUAAGGAUGGGGCUGCGGCCGAUCAGGCUGUUGGUGAGGUAAUGGCUCACCAAACCUUUGACCGGUACGGGCCAUGAGAGUGGUAGCCCGGAGAUGGACACUGAGACAAGGGUCCAGGCCCUACGGGGCGCAGCAGGCGCGAAACCUCCUCAAUGCACUAACGUGCGAAGGGGUUACCUCGAGUGCUAUCUGAAGAAGGUGGCUUUUCCUUGGUCUAAAAAGCCUUGGGAAUAAGAGGGGGGCAAGACUGGUGUCAGCCGCCGCGGUAACACCAGCCCCUCGAGUGGUGGGGAUGAUUAUUUGGCCUAAAGCGUCCGUAGCCGGCCGGGUAAGUUUCCCGUUAAAUCCAGCGUCUCAAGCGUUGGACUGCGGGAAAUACUGCUUGGCUAGAGAGUGGGAGAGGUCAGCGGUAUUCUGGGGGUAGGGGCGAAAUCCUUUGAUCCCCGGAGGACCACCAGUGGCGAAGGCUGCUGACUAGAACACGUCUGACGGUCAGGGACGAAAGCUGGGGUAGCGAACCGGAUUAGAUACCCGGGUAGUCCCAGCCGUAAACGAUGCAUGCUAGGUGUUGGGUUGGCCACGAGCUACCCCAGUGCCGCUGGGAAGCCGUUAAGCAUGCCGCCUGGGAAGUACGAUCGCAAGAUUGAAACUUAAAGGAAUUGGCGGGGGAGCACCACCAGGCGUGAAG
rnacentral:rRNA from 1 species